rnacentral:lncRNA from 1 species
UUCAUUGAUUCAACCAUUACAAAUUUUAUAAGCUAUCUCAUAGUCAUAACCCACUUAAGAUAAAACAAAAUUUUAAUGAUGUAGCUACACGUAAUUCUACACAUAAUUUUGAAUACUCACGCAAGGUCGGUGGCAGCAGCGGCGUGACGAUGGAUGUACGCGAGUGAGAGGUAGCAGAUCACAACGAGAAGUCAAGUUAUAUAGCGGCAACACGAGUGUGGUUCUACAUUAAACACAUGUGAUUUCGGCGGGAGCAUGUGAUGCAACGAAGCUUCCCUUUACAAAGAGAAAAGUCGAUUAUCAAAAACAAAAACAAAAAAAAGGAGAGAGAAAAGUCCAAUUUCCCCAAAUGUUGAAAAACCCUAAAAAUAGAAGAUUAAAGAACAGAGAAGAGAGACAAGAAAAACCCUAAAAAAUAUUAUUUCGUCGGUGAAAGAUAAAACCUAAAAAUAAAAGAUUAAAGAUCAAAGAAGAGAAACAAAAAAUAAAUAAUUCCUAAAAGCAUUAUUUCGGUAGUGGAAGAUGAUGGAAGAAAAACCGCUCAGUCGAGACAGACGGCGCCACCGGUAUGAAGCAAAAAUUGAAGAACAUAGAACAAAGAAGAUAGAAAGAGAGAGAGAGAGAGAGAGAGAGAGAGAGAGAGAGAGGUUU